rnacentral:rRNA from 1 species
CAUGCAAGUCGAACGCAUUGUGGUUGAAAUGAUAUGAAGAACUUGUUCAGAUUUGAUUUUCAACAUUGCAAUGAGUGGCGAACGGGUGAGUAACACGUGGGAAACCUACUCUUAGCAGGGGAUAACAUUUGGAAACAAAUGCUAAUACCGUAUAACAAUUAAAACCGCAUGGUUUUAGUUUAAAAGAUGGUCUUGCUAUCACUAAGAGAUGGUCCCGCGGUGUAUUAGUUAGUUGGUGAGGUAAUGGCUCACCAAGACAAUGAUACAUAGCCGAGUUGAGAGACUGACCGGCCACAAUGGGACUGAGACACGGCCCAUACUCCUACGGGAGGCAGCAGUAGGGAAUCUUCCACAAUGGACGAAAGUCUGAUGGAGCAACGCCGCGUGUGUGAUGAAGGGUUUCGGCUCGUAAAACACUGUUGUAAGAGAAGAAUGACAUUGAGAGUAACUGUUCAAUGUGUGACGGUAUCUUACCGGAAAGGAACGGCUAAAUACGUG